UACGUAGGGGGGCUAGCGUUGUCCGGAAUCAUUGGGCGUAAAGAGCUCGUAGGCGGUUUGUCGCGUCUGCCGUGAAAGUCCGGGGGCUCAACUCCGGAUCUGCGGUGGGUACGGGCAGACUAGAGUGAUGUAGGGGGAGACUGGAAUUCCUGGUGUAGCGGUGAAAUGCGCAGAUAUCAGGAGGAACACCGAUGGCGAAGGCAGGUCUCUGGGCAUUAACUGACGCUGAGGAGCGAAAGCGUGGGGGAGCAAACAGG
rnacentral:rRNA from 1 species